rnacentral:tRNA from 1 species
AUGGCACAUCCAACACAACUAGGAUUCCAAGACGCGGCAUCACCCGUUAUAGAAGAACUUCUACACUUCCACGACCACGCACUAAUAAUUGUACUCCUAAUUAGCACCCUAGUAUUAUAUAUUAUUACUGCAAUGGUUUCAACCAAACUUACUAACAAAUACAUCCUGGACUCCCAAGAAAUCGAAAUCGUAUGAACUAUCUUACCAGCCGUUAUUUUAGUCUUAAUCGCCCUACCCUCACUACGCAUCUUAUACCUUAUAGACGAAAUUAACGACCCCCACCUAACAAUUAAAGCAAUAGGACACCAAUGAUACUGAAGUUAUGAGUAUACAGAUUAUGAAAACCUAGGCUUUGACUCCUACAUAAUCCCAACUCAAGACCUUACCCCAGGACAAUUCCGACUCCUAGAGACUGACCACCGGAUAGUUGUUCCCAUAGAAUCCCCAGUCCGUGUCCUAGUGUCCGCCGAAGAUGUAUUGCACUCCUGAGCUGUUCCAUCCCUAGGCGUAAAAAUAGACGCAGUGCCAGGACGACUAAAUCAAACUGCCUUCAUCGCCUCACGCCCAGGCGUAUUCUAUGGACAAUGCUCAGAAAUCUGCGGUGCCAACCACAGCUUUAUACCAAUCGUAGUAGAAGCAGUCCCACUAGAACACUUCGAAAACUGAUCCUCAUUAAUACUAGAAGACGCCU